rnacentral:rRNA from 1 species
CCUACGGGAGGCAGCAGUGAGGAAUAUUGGUCAAUGGACGAGAGUCUGAACCAGCCAAGUAGCGUGAAGGAUGACUGCCCUAUGGGUUGUAAACUUCUUUUAUAAAGGAAUAAAACGAGGCACGUGUGCCGUUUUGCAUGGACUUUAUGAAUAAGGAUCGGCUAACGCCGUGCCAGCAGCCGCGGUAAUACGGAGGAUCCGAGCGUUCUCCGGAUUUAUUGGGUUUAAAGGGAGCGUAGAUGGGUUGUUAAGUCAGUUGUGAAAGUUUGCGGCUCAACCGUAAAAUUGCAAUUGAUACUGGCAGUCUUGAGUACAGUUGAGUUCGGCGGCAUUCGUGUUGUAGCGGUGACAUGCUUAGCUCUCACGA